UUUGGAUUUUGGUCAUUUGUAUAGGGACAUUCUACGGGUAAGAGAAGAAAGCCUCAAGUGAGCCUGCGUACAACUCCAGUAAAUACACAGCACAUGCAGCCCCUUCAAAGUGCUGGCAGGCCACUGCACAUGGACACCCCACUCCAAGAGAACAAUCAGGGAAGAAGGAAGUCAAGACUCCAGAAGCAUGACAACAUAUAAAGCCCGAAGUCAAAAGUUGUUGGUCAAUCGCAAUGCAAGAAAUUCAAGAGAACAUUAACAUUCAAUAAAUUUUUUUUAAUGGAAUGACCAUACGGAGAUUACUCAAACUUGACAUGACCCUAACAACUACAGGAAAUGAUCAUGCCAAUACAAUCCUUGAAAGUGUCAUUGAAUCUACAUUUCCCAUCUAUGAGUUACACCAGUUUUUAGGCAAAUCACUUGAACCAGAAAUCUAAAAGUUAUUUGCAAUUUCUGUGUGCUUUACUGCUUAUCAAGUAAGCCUCUUAAGAUUUUUGAUAUAAAUCCCCACCUCUAACCCCAUUUCUGCUGCCAUAGGACAUAUCAGAAAUAGAGACUGAAAAUGAUAAGAAACCAAAUACAGUAAGUAUUUAAUUAACAAAAAAAAUUAAUUUUACUUACGUUUGUUUGUGUGCAUAUGAUAGCAUAUAUAUUUUGCUUGAGAUAUUUGAAACUGUUUAGUUAUUUCACAUGCCUAUUUUUGCUAAUAUGUACUUAAAUUUGAAAUUCCAUACUGAGCACAGUGGUACAUAAUUAUGUAAAUAGCCCAAUCACUCAUAUUCUCCCUUUCCACUAGAAUUGCUUUACAUGCUUUUGAUACCUUUUCUUUUGUAAAUGGUUGAAUCUUUUCUAUCUUGUUUAACUCUGACUUUCUGCUCAUUAACUUUAAUAGUUUUUUCUAGUUCCAAUGUUGUAGAAUUUGUGGAUAUUUACUAUUUUAUUCUCACUCCCCAAAAUGCAGUGUCUCAUUACAAACAUUUCACAACUUUACAUAUAUAUAUAUACACACACAUACAUAUGUAUAUAUUCUUAUUGUCUUCUUUGAGUACAUAAGAAGUCAUUCUUCUUAUAAAAUCAAUAUUAUAGAUCAAGUUACUUUUAAAUGAUUGAUUUGAUAGUAUAAAAAUGUAAUUAAAUGUCAUAUUGACAAAUUGUUGACCAGUCUUCCAGUGACGAUAUAAUAUAGUUUAGUAAUGGAUAAUUUACAAAAUGUUGCUGGAGCUUUCUAGGUUGCAGAAAGCUGCAGGAGUACAUCGUUCUUAUCCUGACAACAAAGAAAAAAUAUACAAAUAUCUACAAAACCCUAACUUUUCUGAAACUCAUCAGAGACAUGGGUAUUCAAGCCGAUGUGUUGAACUAAAGGCCAAAGGGAGACACAUCCCUUAAAAGGGCCUAUGAACCAUUUCAUCUUGAGCAGAACACAAGAGAAAUAAAGAAGCUGCCCUACUAGUUGGUAAGACAAAACAACUGAAAUUUCAACAUUUUCUUUUCUUUUAUUAUUUUAUUAUUAUUAUACUUUAAGUUUUAGGGUACAUGUGAACAACGUGCAGGUUUGUUACAUAUUUAUACAUGUGCCAUUUUGGUGUGCUGCACCCAUUAACUCGUCAUUUAGCAUUAGGUAUAUCUCCUAAUGCUAUCCCUCCCCCCUCGCCCCACCCCACAACAGUCCCCGGAGUAUGAUGUUCCUCUUCCUGUGUCCAUGUGUUCUCGUUGUUCAGUUCCCACCUAUAAGUGAGAAUAUGCAGUGUUUGGUUUUUUGUCCUUGUGAUAGUUUACUAAGAAUGAUG
rnacentral:lncRNA from 1 species